rnacentral:lncRNA from 1 species
UUUGAACUUUGUUCAGGCCACCUGAUGACUCAAAAUGGUGUCUACUUUGCUCAGGUACACAUGGAAGACACACUGAUUUGGGAUUUUGGUGAAAUUUGAUGUGAUCGGCCUGCUUGCUAGUUUGUGUUCUGUCCUGUCCUUCGCCUACCAGCCUUCAUAUUUCACAUCACUUUCGACACAGAUCCCGUCAGGCUCCAUUGUGGAUCAACCAGACACCCCACCAUAGAUGAUGACGCUCUUCAUUUUGUCUUGGUAAGCUAAAAGUCUUUUUAAACUUGAACUUUGAUUUUUUUUUUUUUUUUUAGGUUUUAUUUAAAGUUUCAGUAAUUUACUGAUUUUUUUUGUUUUAGUGUAAU